AAAUCCAUUGAAUCCACCAUUUGUAAAAACGAGCACCCCCAUCAGAUUUUCAUUUCUUCUCCUUCACAUUCCAAAAACUGUAGGCUUCAUCUUCUUUACAAAACCAGCCACAGAUAUCUUUUAAUCAGUCACACUUCCAUCUCAACAAAAAAAACAACACCCAUCAGCUAGACAUCACCCUCACAACUAACGAGCUGAAAAGCAGCCUAUUUCCCGGCGAAAUUUCAGCUGUAAAACCAUCUCUCAAACAGCCCCGAACCAGCUCAAAAAUGACCCCAACCAGCCCAAAACGAAGCCAUGUAGUAGCUGCGAUUUUCAUUCGAGGUUCUCCGAUCAAGCUUCGGUUCCGGCUCCUAUUCAUACCAUUAUUGCUAUAAUUCCUUGAGGUUGCUGGGUUCGGCGAAUUUGUCGCUGGAUUCGUCCUUCGAGGUAUCGUUUGAGGUUAAGUUCAUGGAUCUUAAUCCCGUUUUGCUGCUGUCUCGCUAUCUCUUUGUUAGAUACUUCAAUUCCGGCACCAAAUUUCUCUGUAUUUGACUCCAAAUGAGAUUAAUCAAAGUUGCGGUUUCAUUUUUGCUCGUGUAACUAUGGAACGUUUUUCUUGAGAAAUUGAAACUUCAACUUUCAGGUCCCGAUAGACAGGUCGAGAGCCCUCCAAGUAGACUUUCAGCUCAACAGAAGAUGUUGGUGCGCUAUAUUUGCUUCGGAGUUGCUUGUUUGGUUAGUAUGGUUUAGAUGUGUUUUGUUUGGUAUGGCGUGACUCUAUCCCUGCCUUUAAAAAAUUAUGUAUUCUUAGAGGCUUAUAGAUAGAUUUCAUGUACGUAAAUUAUGGCAUGACUCUAUCCCUGCCUUUAUAAAAUUAUGUAUUCUUAGAGGCUUAUAGAUAGAUUUCAUGUACGUAAAA